rnacentral:ribozyme from 14 species
UAUUUAUAAUGCAAACGAAAAAAUGAAAAAAAUGAAAAAAAUGAAAAAAAUGAAAAAAAAAUGAAUGAAUCUCGAAUCUGUUGAAUCUAUACCGUUUGGAACUCCUUCUUCGCUUUCGUCUCAUCGGCG